CCAGGGAAAGUCAAAAGUGAGCCCUGAAAGGAGGUCAGCAAUUAGUGCAGCCUUUCCUAACUUGGUGCCUCCAGCUGUUUGGACUUCAGUUCCCAUCAGCCCCAGCAUUGUGCCAUCAUGCUGGCCAGAGCUGAUGGGAGAUGUAGUCCAAAACAUCUGGAGGGCACUAGGUUGGGGAAGGCUAGAAGAGUGGGUCGCCCACUUUCUAGUGAGCACAGAGAAGAUACUCAGACCUGUGAGUUCCCAAUUUGUAGCUCAAAUUCUUGGCCGCUAAGCUGCACCAACUCUUAAGAAGUGACACCGAAUGUUUUCACAGAAGAGGCAAACCCCAAAGCUGGGAAUGGAAGAUGCAUUCUUCCAUCAUGGUGUCGCCAGAUUGACAUCAUGUGUCCAUCUGAGCGGAAGGCACCCCACCCCCACCAACCUGCUCUGUUUGAAGCCACAGAGUCUGUCUGCGAUGAUAUAUGCUGGGACACAGGAGCUUCGAGGCCCGGUAUGAGACUCUCAACCGCUAGGUCAGCUUUUCCUUUCCGAAGGCACAAAAGAGCAGAGCAGAAGCCAAAUUAGCUUGUGAGAAAAUGUGUAUCAAGGCACGGAAAACAGGGCACAAAACAAUCCAGAAGAUCUCCUAAUACUGCCCCACUGGACAACACUGAGCUUGACAAGGGAAAGAAUGCAGGACCGAGAAACAAGAGGAACUGUGUGCAUCACCGUCCUAAGAAGAAGAAGAGAGAGCCAGGCACGUCAAGCCAUUUCUAAGGACGCAGCUACAAAUGCAGCAGAGAGAAGUGUAUCAUUUCAGACUGAAGGGGGUGUGGACGGGGGAAAUGACGUCACAAUUCUGAAUGCUACCCUGUCUAUGAUAACUUUUUAUUCUUUCAGGCUUUUUAAGGUUUGUGUUUUUUAAACUCUGCUUUAAGUUGGUCACAUUGCUGUUUUGUAAGAAUAUUCAUUAGUCUAUUGAUUUUAUAUUAGGAGCCUCUCUCAGAACUUUUUGCAUUUAAGAGCAGGAUAUUAAACAUCCAAAAUAUGUGGAGAAAUUUCCUGAAAACAGAAAACUAGCAGAGCAGGGAGGGGGCUGGGCCAGGAUCUCUCCCUCCAAGUGCUAGUUUUCUACUUUCAACAAGACUAAAAUGUGUUAAAAUGGACAUCAGGACAUUAAAAAUUGUAUUCCUUGUAGGAAUAUAGACUUGGACACACACCUCCUUUUACCAUAUAUCCAUAUUACUACCAACAUUAAAAGCCUGUGAUCACUACAAGCGUCUAGUCCUGCUUGCUGAAAGAAUUACGGGGAUCUGCAGACUUCUGUUAAACACACCAGGUCUUAUGCUUUAAGUUGGAUUCCUGCACUGAGCAGGAGGUUGGACUUGCUGGCCUUAAAGACCCCUUCCAACUCUACUAUUCUAUUGUCUGUUAGAAUCAAAAUUUACUUUAGGCAAGGAGAUGAUGUAGAAAAGUUUAGCUAUCUUUAGAGUACCUUGUUAUGUGAUGGCAGAAAGAAAGUUACAAGACAUUUUUCUGAUUCAAAACAAUGUUAAUUGCAAAGGGUUUUGAAAAACUUAACUGAAUAAGGGAAUUUUGCAUCAUUAGUUUGAGCUAUUUGUAUUUUGGAAUGUCUUGGAUAAGUUGUAACAGCCGCUGGCUAUCAACAAUAACAUCUGAUUGAAUCAACCAGAGGUAUUUACUAAAUUAUUGACUUUUUCAUGCAAAUUCUCACAUUAAUUUUAAUAUGCAACCUGAAAGCUGACAGAUGUGAUUUUUGUAAUAUUACGAGAUAUACAUGCCUGUAAUAAAGUGGCUGACUUUGCUCCAUCUUCCUAUCCUCCAGAUUAAGCCCUCUUAUUAAAGUUGACCAGAGUCGCUGUGUC